rnacentral:rRNA from 1 species
UGAACGCUAGCUACAGGCUUAACACAUGCAAGUCGAGGGGCAGCAUGGUCUUAGCUUGCUAAGGCCGAUGGCGACCGGCGCACGGGUGAGUAACGCGUAUCCAACCUGCCUUACACUCUUGGACAGCCUUCUGAAAGGGAGAUUAAUACAAGAUGUUAUCAUGAGUAAGCAUUUUCGCAUGAUUAAAGGUUUACCGGUGUAAGAUGGGGAUGCGUUCCAUUAGAUAGUAGGCGGGGUAACGGCCCACCUAGUCUUCGAUGGAUAGGGGUUCUGAGAGGAAGGUCCCCCACAUUGGAACUGAGACACGGUCCAAACUCCUACGGGAGGCAGCAGUGAGGAAUAUUGGUCAAUGGACGAGAGUCUGAACCAGCCAAGUAGCGUGAAGGAUGAAGGUUCUAUGGAUUGUAAACUUCUUUUAUACGGGAAUAAACGAAUCCACGCGUGGAUUUUUGCAUGUACCGUAUGAAUAAGGAUCGGCUAACUCCGUGCCAGCAGCCGCGGUAAUACGGAGGAUCCGAGCGUUAUCCGGAUUUAUUGGGUUUAAAGGGAGCGUAGAUGGGUUGUUAAGUCAGUUGUGAAAGUUUGCGGCUCAACCGUAAAAUCGCAAUUGAUACUGGCAGUCUUGAGUACAGUUGAGGUAGGCGGAAUUCGUGGUGUAGCGGUGAAAUGCUUAGAUAUCACGAAGAACUCCGAUUGCGAAGGCAGCUUACUAACCUGUAACUGACAUUGAUGCUCGAAAGUGUGGGUAUCAAACAGGAUUAGAUACCCUGGUAGUCCACACGGUAAACGAUGAAUACUCGCUGUAGGCGAUAUACAGUCUGCGGCCAAGCGAAAGCAUUAAGUAUUCCACCUGGGGAGUACGCCGGCAACGGUGAAACUCAAAGGAAUUGACGGGGGCCCGCACAAGCGGAGGAACAUGUGGUUUAAUUCGAUGAUACGCGAGGAACCUUACCCGGGCUUAAAUUGCAACCGAAUAUGGCGGAAACGCUAUAGCUAGCAAUAGCGGUUGUGAAGGUGCUGCAUGGUUGUCGUCAGCUCGUGCCGUGAGGUGUCGGCUUAAGUGCCAUAACGAGCGCAACCCUUGCCGAUAGUUACUAACAGGUCAUGCUGAGGACUCUGUCGGGACUGCCAUCGUAAGAUGUGAGGAAGGUGGGGAUGACGUCAAAUCAGCACGGCCCUUACGUCCGGGGCUACACACGUGUUACAAUGGGGGGUACAGAGGGCUGCUACCACGCAAGUGGAUGCCAAUCCCAAAAACCUCUCUCAGUUCGGAUUGAAGUCUGCAACCCGACUUCAUGAAGCUGGAUUCGCUAGUAAUCGCGCAUCAGCCACGGCGCGGUGAAUACGUUCCCGGGCCUUGUACACACCGCCCGUCAAGCCAUGGGAGCCGGGGGUACCUGAAGUGCGUAACCGCAAGGAGCGCCCUAGGGUAAAACUGGUGACUGGGGCUAAGU